rnacentral:rRNA from 1 species
CAGCAGCCGCGGUAAGACGGAGGGUGCUAGCGUUGUUCGGAAUCACUGGGCGUAAAGGGCGCGUAGGCGGCCUGUUAAGUCGGAUGUGAAAGCCCGGGGCUCAACCCCGGAACUGCAUCCGAGACUGGCAGGCUUGAGACCGGGAGAGGAGGGUGGAAUAUCCAGUGUAGAGGUGAAAUUCGUAGAUAUUGGAUGGAACACCGGUGGCGAAAGCGGCUCUCUGGCCCGGAUCUGACGCUGAGGCGCGAAAGCGUGGGGAGCAAACAGGAUUAGAUACCCGGGUAGUCCCUGUCUCUUAUAC